rnacentral:rRNA from 1 species
CAGCAGUCAAGAAUAUUAGUCAAUGCUCGCAAGAGUGAACAAGCUAACUGGAAUCACUUCUAGAUAAGUGAUAAUGUAAGGGAGGAUAAUGACGUUACCUUACGAUUAGUGUCGUCUAAAGCUGGUGCCAGAAGACUCGGUAAGACCAGAGACACAAACGUUAGUCGUCUUAAAUGGGCAUAAAGGGUUUGUAGGCGGCUUUCUAGCGGGAAAGAAAGCUAGAAUCUAAUAGAGGUUGAGAUAAUACUUAGAGUAAAGCUGAAAUCUAUAAAUACUAAGGGGAAUACUCGAGGCGAAGGCUCUCUUCCAGGUAAAGAUUGACGCUGAGACACGAAGGUGAGGAAAGGAAAUAGGAUUAGAUACCCUGGUACCCCUCACUGUCAACGAUGAAUGGUAGGUGUUAGUUUAAUUAUUAGUGCCGAUGUGAAUACGUUAACCAUUCCGCCUUGUUAGUAUACUUGCAAAGGUGAAAACAAAAAAAUUAGUCGGUCCUAAAGCAAACGAAGUGAAGCAUGUUAUUUAAUUCGAUAAUCCGC